UUUUCCUUUUUGUUUCAAUGUAAUAAACCAUAUUUAAUCAUUAGUACUUUGCUUGAAGUUUUCUCUUGUGCCAAAGAAGACAAGUACCUCUAAAGUUUGAACGCUUCUACCAAGAAGCACAGACUGUCGUUGAUAUAUAUUUAAAUUACGACUGUGAAUUCGCUUUGUCGAAUAUCUUUCAAAGAUUGAUCAAUGAUUUGUCUAAAGUUGCCCAAGGACGUCAAGCUCUAUUGAAUUAGGAGCGACACCAGUUCAAGAACGCAGUAUUCGUAUCAAAGGUCUGGUAUC